GAUGAACGCUGGCGGCGUGCUUAACACAUGCAAGUCGAACGGGAAUUCUUUUAUUGAAACUUCGGUCGAUUUAAUUUAAUUCUAGUGGCGGACGGGUGAGUAACGCGUGGGUAACCUGCCUUAUACAGGGGGAUAACAGUCAGAAAUGGCUGCUAAUACCGCAUAAGCGCACAGAGCUGCAUGGCUCAGUGUGAAAAACUCCGGUGGUAUAAGAUGGGCCCGCGUUGGAUUAGCUGGUUGGUGGGGUAACGGCCCACCAAGGCGACGAUCCAUAGCCGGCCUGAGAGGGUGAACGGCCACAUUGGGACUGAGACACGGCCCAGACUCCUACGGGAGGCAGCAGUGGGGAAUAUUGCACAAUGGGGGAAACCCUGAUGCAGCGACGCCGCGUGAAGGAAGAAGUAUCUCGGUAUGUAAACUUCUAUCAGCAGGGAAGAUAGUGACGGUACCUGACUAAGAAGCCCCGGCUAACUACGUG
rnacentral:rRNA from 1 species